GGAGUUAGCCGGUGCUUCUUCUGUGAGUGAUGUCCUUCCUGCCGGCUAUUAACCCGCAGGCCUUCUUCCUCACUGAAAGUGCUUUACAACCCGAAGGCCUUCUUCACACACGCGGCAUGGCUGGAUCAGGGUUGCCCCCAUUGUCCAAUAUUCCCCACUGCUGCCUCCCGUAGGAGUCUGGGCCGUGUCUCAGUCCCAGUGUGGCUGAUCAUCCUCUCAGACCAGCUACGGAUCGUCGCCUUGGUGAGCCGUUACCUCACCAACCAGCUAAUCCGACAUAGGCUCAUCCGAUAGCGCGAGGCCCGAAGGUCCCCCGCUUUCCCCCGUAGGGCGUAUGCGGUAUUAGCCUGGGUUUUCCCCCAGGUUAUCCCCCGACUACCGGGCAGAUUCCUAUGCAUUACUCACCCGUCCGCCGCUCGCCACCAGGGAGCAAGCUCCCCGUGCUGCCGCUCGACUUGCAUGUGUUAGCGUCGCCGCCAGCGUACAUACUAGCCAGGAGUACAACUACUGA
rnacentral:rRNA from 1 species